AACGAACGCUGGCGGCAUGCCUAACACAUGCCAGUCGAACGAGACCUUCGGGUUUAGUGGCGCACGGGUGCGUAACCCGUGGGAACCUGCCCUUAGGUUCGGAAUAACUCCCCGAAAGGGGUGCUAAUAACGGAUAAUGUUUCCGGACAAAAGAUUUAUCGCCUUUGGAUGGGCCCGCGUUGGAUUAGGUAGUUGGUAGGGUAAAAGCCUACCAAGGCGACGAUCCAUAGCUGGUCUGAGAGGAUGAUCAGCCACACUGGGACUGAGACACGGCCCAGACUCCUACGGGAGGGAGCAGAGGGGAAUAUUGGACAAUGGGCGAAAGCCUGAUGCAGCGAUGCGGCGUGAGUGAUGAAGGCCUUAGGGUUGUAAAGCUCUUUUACCCGGGAUGAUAGUGACAGUACCGGGAGAAUAAGCUCCGGCUAACUCCGUG
rnacentral:rRNA from 1 species